rnacentral:rRNA from 1 species
GCUUGGGUUGGAAACCGGGGCUUCUGCCUUGGAUUGUGGCCUUUAGACAUACUACCAACGGCGGCGCGAGCGUAAGCCUCUUGGAACAGAGCGUCUACGUGGGUGAGAAUCCUGUGUUUCGCUUGAUGCCCGCCGUGCACGGUACUUGCUCUCAGAGUCACGCUCCUCGGAAUUGGAGCGUAAAUUGGGUGGUAAAUUUCAUCUAAAGCUAAAUACAGGCUCGAGACCGAUAGCAAACAAGUACCAUGAGGGAAAGAUGAAAAGGACUUUGAAAAGAGAGUUAAAAGUGCUUGAAAUCGCUGAACUGGAAGCGAAUGGAACUAGUGCUCUGGUUGAGAKUGCUGUAAAUGGCUGCGACAUCUGGGCUCUGGAACGCAAGUCCUUUGUCUGGCUUGAAGUAGUCGCUUGCAAUGUGUCUCAGCUUGAACAUCAACUUCUAUGCAUACGUGAGGAUGGCCCUUGGCUCAUGCUGUGUUGCUGUGGCGAUACUCUUGUGCUUCUGGGGAUUCAGGUGUGUGUGGAUUGUUGAUCAAUUAGUUCCAUUCGACCCGUCUUGAAACACGGACCAAGGAGUCUAGCACUUGUGCAAGUUCUCAGGUGUCAAACCUCUGUGCGCAAUGAAGGUGACUGCUGGGAUUUUUUGCACCAGCAACCGACCAAUCAAUUGGGAGAAGUUUGAGUAAGAGCAUGUGUGUUAGGACCCGAAAGAUGGUGAACUAU